UGGAGGACUGAGAAGGUGAGGCAGUUCUGUACCAUGCUGCCAUCCACUGGUUAAGACCUCCCAGAGCAUAGAGCUGCCAGGGCAGAGGAUGUCCCUCUGCGCCCUCAGAGGGGCAGCGCUGUGCUGGCCAACAUUUG
ensembl:snoRNA SNORA47 small nucleolar RNA SNORA47